rnacentral:rRNA from 1 species
GAUGAACGCUGGCGGCGUGCCUAAUACAUGCAAGUCGAACGAAACUUCUUUAUCACCGAGUGCUUGCACUCACCGAUAAAGAGUUGAGUGGCGAACGGGUGAGUAACACGUGGGCAACCUGCCCAAAAGAGGGGGAUAACACUUGGAAACAGGUGCUAAUACCGCAUAACCAUAGUUACCGCAUGGUAACUAUGUAAAAGGUGGCUAUACUACCGCUUUUGGAUGGGCCCGCGGCGCAUUAGCUAGUUGGUAGGGUAAAGGCUUACCAAGGCAAUGAUGCGUAGCCGAAUUGAGAGGGUGAUCGGCCACAUUGGGACUGAGACACGGCCCAAACUCCUACGGGAGGCAGCAGUAGGGAAUCUUCCACAAUGGGCGAAAGCCUGAUGGAGCAACGCCGCGUGAGUGAAGAAGGUCUUCGGAUCGUAAAACCCUGUUGUUAGAGAAGAAAGUGCGUGAGAGUAACUGUUCACGUUUCGACGGUAUCUAACCGGAAAGCCACGGCUAACUACGUG